GAUGAAGAACGUAGCGAAAUGCGAUAAGUAAUGUGAAUUGCAGAAUUCAGUGAAUCAUCGAAUCUUUGAACGCACAUUGCGCCCGCCAGUAUUCUGGCGGGCAUGCCUGUUCGAGCGUCAUUUCAACCAUCAAGCCCCAGGCUUGUGUUGGGGACCUGCGGCUGCCGCAGGCCCUGAAAACCAGUGGCGGGCUCGCUGUCACACCGGGCGUAGUAGAUUUUAUCUCGCUCAGGGCGUGCUGCGGGUUCCGGCCGUUAAAAAGCCUUUUUUACCCAAGGUUGACCUCGGAUCAGGUAGGAAUACCCGCUGAACUUAAGCAUAUCAAUAGCGGAGGA
rnacentral:misc_RNA from 1 species